GAUGAACGCUAGCGGUAUGCUUAACACAUGCAAGUCGAACGGAAAAGAAAUUUUUAGUGGCAAACGGGUGAGUAACGCGUGAGAAUUCAUCUUUAAGAAGAGGAUAACAAUUAGAAAUAAUUGCUAAAACUCUAUAAAGCGAUAAAAUCGUUAAAAAAGCAAUUUGCUUAAAGAGAAGCUCGCGUCUGAUUAGCUAGUUGGUGGGGUAAAGGCCUACCAAGGCGACGAUCAGUAACUGGUCUGAGAGGAUGAUCAGUCACACUGGAACUGAGAAACGGUCCAGACUCCUACGGGAGGCAGCAGUGAGGAAUUUUCUGCAAUGGGCGAAAGCCUGACAGAGCAAUACCGCGUGAAAGAUGAAGGCCUACGGGUUGUAAACUUCUUUUCUCAAGGAAGAAGAAAUGACGUUACUUGGGGAAUAAGCAUCGGCUAACCCUGUGCCAGCAGCCGCAGUAA
rnacentral:rRNA from 1 species